UAAAUCAUAAAUGUGAAAAAAAUUCACCUUCCUUACAAUCUAGCAAACACACGACGUAAAACCUGGUGAAAGAUGUUCAUCCGGUGGUUGUACAAUCAAUAUCAACCAUUGUUGUCAUAUUAACGAUGUGUCAACUCCUCUCGAAGCCCCAUUUUUAGUUUUUUCUCACAUAAUUUUAAAAGGGUCAAUUACAUAUAAGUCUAUUUAGAGACAUUUUCUCCCAUAUAAGUUCACCUAAACAUUUUUACCUAUAGAAGUCCACCCAAUCAUAAAUAGAGUCUUAUAUUAGGUAUUAAAGUUCAACAAAAUUACAGACUGCCAUCCAACCAAAAAAAUUAGAUUUUCUCUCUUAUAUUUACAAAAAUACCACUAAUGUAAAAAGUCAACAAUCACAAAUGGUCUCCGGUUGACCUCCGGGGAGGUCUCCGGCCGACCUCCGGCGAACUUUCCAGCCGACCAUCUGUGAGGAUUCUAGCGACCACAAAAGUUACUACCACUGACAAAAAAAACUACUACCACUGACAACAAAAGAUACUACCGAUAGAAAAAAAAAUUACUGCCACCAGCAAAGAAAGCUACUACCGAUAGCAACAAAAACUACUACCACUAACAACAAAAUAUACUACCGAUAGCAAAAGAGGCUACUGCCACCAACAAAGAAAACUACUACCGAUAGCAACAAAAGCUACUACCGCCAGCAAAAAAAGCUACUACCACUGACAACAAAAAAUACUGUCACCAUCAACAAAAACUACUAUCACAGGCUAUAAAAGCUACUACCAUCGGCUAUAAAAGCUACUAUGGUGAGAUUUCUGACAACCUCCGGUAAGGUCACAAAAGAUAUUAUCACUGGUAACAAAAAAUACUACCGAACAUAACAAAAACUACUACCACCAGCUACAAAAGCUACUAUGCUGAGAUUCCAAUGACCUUCGGCAAGGUCACAAAAGAUAUUGUCACCAGCUAUAAAAGAUACUACCGAGUAUAUGAAAAGUUACUGUCACCAACAAAAAAAGCUACUAUUUCAAGCUAUAAAAGAUACUACCAAGCAAAUGAAAAACUACUACAAGGUAGAACAAAAGCUACUGCCACCACCUAUAAAAGAUACUACCGAACAUAUGAAAAACUACUACCAAGCAGAACAAAAGCUACUGUCACCAACAAAAAAAUCUACUAUCACCAACAAAAAAAUCUACUAUCUACUAUCACCAACUAUAAAAGCUACUACCCCUAGUUACAAAAGUUACUACAAAGAGAUUUCCAAUAACCUCUGACGAAGUCAUAAAAGAUACUGUCGUCAGCAACAAAAACUAUUACCGCAAGUAACAAAAGCUACUACCACCAUCAACAAAAACUACUACCACAAUCAACAAAUUAAAACUAUUACCUCCAAACAAAACCAAUAGCUAAUGUUUUCGGCAACAAAAUCUACUACCAAGCAUAAUGAAAGCUAUUACCAAUGUGUCAAAAAUAGACAAUCACAGUGGGGAAAAUAUACUAUCACAAUGAUGAAAAUGUACUAUCGCAUUGUUCAAAAUAUACUAUCAUACAAUGAGGCCGAAACAUACUUAUGAAUCUCAUUUCAUUCAUCUCCCACAUUAUCAGAACAUGAUUCUGUGCAUGAUUUCUCACACUCACUAUCAAAUUAACAGAAAACAUCAUCCUAAUCUUUGUUUACAUUUUCUAAAAACCAAAGAAACGAAUUGUAGCAAAUUUACACUCAGAAUUUUACCAGAACAGUCACCUCCAGGCGAUAUCUUUGAAGCGGCGUCGUCCAGGACUUGUCAUCGAGUCAGCAGCGGAGUCCAAGCUGUACGGAUCUCGAAUCGCCAGCAGAAGGCGAUCAUAGCCGUCAAGGACCAGACGAGCCACGGGAUGAGCCGGCGAGCCAUCUGGUUUCAGAGAUCCCGUCGAGGUCAAAUCAGAAGUUGUCAUCGAUGGAAUUGGACGUAAUAGACGUCGAGGUCAGGAGCGACGUCGAGGUCGAGGCGUCGUCGUCGAGCCGGCAGCGUCGAGGUCGAGGUCGAGGUCGAGGUCGAGGUCAAGGCGUCGUCGUCGAUCUCGCGACAUCGAGGUCGAGGCGUUGUCGAUCUGGCAACAUUGAGGUCGAGGCGUCGUCGUUGAGCCGGCGGCAUCGAGGUCGAGGUCAAGGCUUUGUCGUCGAUCUGGCGACGUCGAGGUUGAGCCUGCUUCCUCGUCAUCUAUCAAGCGGUGCCAAGCCAUCGUCGUCGAGCUGGUGUUGGCCUGAGACGCCGCCAUGGCCGGAUAUUCGAGACCGGAGAAGAGAGGGUGGAGGAACACGAAGAGAGAGAGAGAGAGAGAGAGAGAGAGAGAGAGAGAGAGAGAGAGAGAGAGAGAGAGAGAGAGAGAGAGAGAGAGAGAGAGAGAGAGAGAGAGAGAUGGAGAGAAGUGAAAAGGACGUGAGAAGAAGAGAGAAAAAUUUAUUUGCAGGGAAAUAGGGUAUUUUAGGAACAUCGUAAAUAUAAAAUGACAGGUUUAGGUUUAAAAGUGGACUUAUAUGGGUAAAAAUAAUAAGGUGGACUUGUGUUACAAAAAAUGUUACGAAAGUGACUUUAGUGAAAUUUUCUAAUUUUAAAACUAAAAAAUGGUCAUUAAACAAAUAUCUUUCUAAUAUUUAAUUGUUUCAUUUCAAGUUAUUGUUACCGAUCAACUUGAUUGUCUGUAAAGAUGUACCAGACAGACAGUGUCUUCUGUUCCAAAGUUCACCCUGCCUCUAAUGCUCAUAAAAUAUUUGAAUUGCUUGCGUACCUAAUGCUAUGGAAACAAUAUCUAGUUUUGACGUUUUGGAUCUGUUAUAGGAGGAGAGCAACCUUGUCAAAAAAGUCAUUAAACAAAUAUCUUUUCAUUGUUUAACUGCUUCCAAUAUCUCACUUGCUUAUGUGCUACCUAAUGCCAUGUAAUGAAAUAGGUAGCUUUGAUGUUUUGGAUAUGUUAUAGGAAGGGAACAGCUAUAUAUGCAGAGUCCUUUCAUGCAAUAUCCAAGAGCCUUCAUGUUGAUUUACUAUUUGCUGAUUGGUCAAUAUCACGUUAAUCAUAUUACUCUUAUCCUAUCACAAUUUCAAUAUACAUGAGAAAAAGCUAAGUAACAUUUGGUCUAGCGGCAUAGUCUUCUUUUAGUAAGCAGGAGGUUGUAAGUUUGACUCACGAAAUACUAAUUGUAGUAUUUAAGUUGUUUACCAGAUCAAAAAUAAAACAUACAUGAGAAAAAAGAAUUGAAAGAAAGCCCCAUGAAAAAUAUGAAAAUUUUUGUUACCUCAUAGCUAGCUAUCAAUUGAUUGGUAUUGUAAGUAAUUCUAUCAACAGAAGUAGAGCAAAAAACGACUCCACGUCGAUGGGGUAUCGCCAUGGAAGCUUCGAAGAAAUGAACAUCCCCGUAUUGUAAGUAGGGUUUGUCUAGUAUCACCUUCAGAAUCCACAUCCACACGCAGCCUCAGAUAAGAGCUUCUUCCGUAAACGUUAAUUAACGCGUUGAUUUUUGUUUACCCACCCAACGCGUUCUCGCCAUAUCUCCUUCCUUAUUAUACACAAUCCCUCUCAGCACACCAUUUCCUUGAUCAUUUCCCACUUUCCCUCUUCCCCUUAUAUAAACCUCUCACUUCUCCUCACCUUUCUCACAUUCCACUCUUCUUUUACCUCUUUCGUUUCAUUCACUAGUUUUCCACAAAGUCUUCUCUCUUAUCUUAGCUUCAGCUUCCAUGUCGGAGAAACAAGCAGGCUUGAAUGGCUCCUACUACGGCCCAUCCAUCCCGCCCAAGAGGGACUCCUACCAAAGCGUCGGCCGCGGCGGAGGUCCCCUCGGCUGCUGCUGCAGCUGCAUCUUCGGCCUCGUCUUCAAGCUCAUCUUCACCGCCAUCGUCUUCAUGGGACUCGCCUUCUUCGUCUUCUGGCUCAUAGUUAAACCUAACCGCGUCAAGUUUCACGUCACCGACGCCACUCUCACCCAAUUCAACUUCUCCUCUGACAGCAACCUCCACUACAACCUCGCCCUCAACCUCACCAUCCGAAACCCUAACAAGAAGCUCGGCAUCUACUACGAUCGCAUCGAGGCCAGAGCCAACUACGAGGGCCAGAGGUUCAGCACGAUCACUCUCACCCCGUUUUACCAAGGACACAAAACCACCAACGUUUUGAACCCUCUGUUUACUGGACAGCAGUUGCUUGUUGGGUCCAAUUUGCAGUCGGAGUAUCAGAAGCAGACCAGUGCUGGGGUAUACGAGAUUGAGAUGAAGCUUUAUCUGAGGAUUAGGUUCAAGUUCGGUCGGAUCAAGACCGGAAAGUUCAAACCCAGAGUUGAAUGUGACUUGAAGGUUCCUUUGAGUACGAAUGGCAAUUCCGCAACUACCUUCGAGACCAAGCGGUGCAAGAUUGAUUACUUUAAAGCCAUCUAGCUGGUCAUCCAUGGCGGCCGAGGAGGAGAUCCUUUCUUGUUGAUACAGUCUUCUUCUUAUCUUUUCGCUUCUGCUUUGUGAUUUUUCAUACCAGACACUAUUCUUUUGUUUCUUUUUUUGGCGUUACGAUUACUGUUACAUAUCAUAUGUACACUGAUUAUGAGUAUAUGAUGAUGACGAUUUAGUGAUCAGAUCUUUGGAUUAUAAAUAAAUGACGAUUUUAGUGGUUAGUGCUUUGCUAUCUCAUGACGCUUGUGAUGUCUGGUUUAUACACCUUUUCAACGUCUCCAUGCUUUUUCUAUGCUUUCAAAGCUAUAAACGUUAAAAGUCUUCGGUAAUUUACAAUUAUUUUUAAAGUCAUUGUCUAUGAGUCAAUGACUACGCGGAGAUUGGGACCAAACUUAAAAUAAAAUAAAAUGACCAAUUCAAUUGAAAGCCGCUACCUAUGCCAAUUACAUAAAAAUCUAUUUGAAGACAUUUUCUCCCAUAUAGGUCCACCUAAAUAUUUUUACCCACAUAAGUCCACCCAAAUCUAAAUACAGUCUUAUAUUAGGUAUUAAAGUUCAACAAAAUUACAAACUGCCAUCCAACCAAAAAAUUAGAAUUUCUCUCUUAUAUUUACAAAAAUGCCAUUAAUGUAAAAAGUCAACAACCACAAAUAGUCUCCGAUUGACCUCCGGCGAGGUCUCCGGCCGACCUCCGACGAACUUUCCGGCCAACCUUCGGUAAACUUUCCGGCCGACCAUCUGUGAGGAUUCUAGCGACCACAAAACCUACUACCACUGACAACAAAAGAUACUACUACCGACAAAGAAAGUUACUACCACUGAUAACAAAAGAUACUACCAAUAGCAAAAAGAACUACUGCCACCAGCAAAAAAAGCUAUUACCGAUAGCAACGAAAGCUACUACCACUAAUAAAGAAAGCUACUACCACUGACAACAAAAUAUACUACCAAUAGCAAAAAAACUACUGCCAUCAGCAAAGAAAGCUACUACCGAUAGCUAAAAAAGCUACUGCCACCAGCAACAAAAGCUACUACCGAUAGCAACAAAAGCUACUACCGCCACCAACAAAAGCUACUACCGCCACCAACAAAAGCUACUACCGCCACCAACAAAAAAACUAUUGUCAGCAACAACAAAAAUACCACCGCCAGCAGCCAGAGGUACUACUGCCACCAACAAAAGAUACUACCACAACCAAUAAAAAAUACUAUCGCCACCAACAAAAACUACUACCACCAGCAACAAAAUCUACUCAUAAGAGAUUGAGAAAAAUACUAGCAUAGAAGUUGAAAACGCUUUGAUUGUAUAUACAAAAUAUUAUUAUCGUGUUGAAAAGAUACUAGUACAGAUAUUAAAAAAAUACUAAAAUUAUGUAACUUUUUACAAUGAUAUAAUUAUGUAUAAAGCUACUUCUGUACUUUAAAAAAGCUACUGUUAUAGUUUAGAAAGUUUACUACAAUAGUUU
rnacentral:lncRNA from 1 species